CAACCCUCCGAACCCCGUCCGGGGGGUCGGCGGUUGGGGAUCGGCCCUUUACGGGGCCGGCCCCGAAAUACAGUGGCGGUCUCGCCGCAGCCUCUCCUGCGCAGUAGUUUGCACACUCGCAUCGGGAGCGCGGCGCGUCCAUUGCCGUAAAACACCCAACUUUCUGAAAUG
rnacentral:misc_RNA from 1 species